rnacentral:tRNA from 1 species
GGAGAGGUCGCAUAGCCCGGUUGAGUGCGCUUGUUUGGAGAACAAGUGACCAGCAAUGGUCCGGGAGUUCGAAUCUCCCCCUCUCCG